UAGGGAAUCUUCCACAAUGGACGCAAGUCUGAUGGAGCAACGCCGCGUGAGUGAAGAAGGUUUUCGGACCGUAAAGCUCUGUUGUUGGUGAAGAAGGAUAGAGGUAGUAACUGGCCUUUAUUUGACGGUAAUCAACCAGAAAGUCACGGCUAACUACGUGCCAGCAGCCGCGGUAAUACGUAGGUGGCAAGCGUUGUCCGGAUUUAUUGGGCGUAAAGCGAGCGCAGGCGGAAGAAUAAGUCUGAUGUGAAAGCCCUCGGCUUAACCGAGGAAUUGCAUCGGAAACUGUUUUCUUGAGUGCAGAAGAGGAGAGUAGAACUCCAUGUGUAGCGGUGGAAUGCGUAGAUAUAUGGAAGAAUACCAGUGGCGAAGGCGGCUCUCUGGUCUGCAACUGACGCUGAGGCUCGAAAGCAUGGGUAGCGAACAGGAUUAGAUACCCUGGUAGUCCAUGCCGUAAACGAUGAGUGCUAAG
rnacentral:rRNA from 1 species